rfam:Schistosoma curassoni strain Dakar, Senegal genome assembly, scaffold: SCTD_scaffold0003812
AUGCGGCUGAUGAGUCGCAAAUGAAACGAAACGUGCGUCCUAGAU